AAGGGUUUUCUGCUCUCUGGAUCUCCUCUUCUGAAGCUGAUUAUCGAUCUCUCGAGAUGUAUAAAGCUGUACUGCAGUAGGAUCAGAGUGGCCUGCGUGUGUUUUGCUGGCGAGAUGGUAGCGUGGGUCAUCUGGUGCCGGAAACCGGGGAAUUAACAUCUCAGGCAUUGAGGAGAACCCCGGAGACAGGGCGGAUUCAGAAAUGCAGGGAAAAGGCUGGUGCUGCUGUCCAUCGAGGCUGGUGCUGAAAUUCUUAUUUUGUCCAUCGAGGCUGGUGUUGAAAUUUGAGGUGUGGUCAGUCCGACGUAGAUAAGCGGCAGCACUGAGGUAUCUUGUAAGCCUUCCGUAGUUAUGCUCCCUCUCCAAGUUGUGAGUUUUCU
rnacentral:lncRNA from 1 species